rnacentral:rRNA from 1 species
AAAAGGACUCUCGGCAACGGAUAUCUCGGCUCUCGCAUCGCAUCUUGGUGUGAAUUGCAGAAUCCCGUGAACCAUCGAGUCUUUGAACGCAAGUUGCGACCAAAGCCAUUAGGACGAGGGUACGUCUGCCUGGGCAUC